UGUUCUGAGCAUGUCUGCUAGUAAGGACGUACUUGCCCUUGCAUCGUUGGAGGUUGAUCUCUCGACCAUCGAGCCCGGGAGCACUGUGACAGUGAAGUGGCGGGGUAAGCCUGUGUUCAUUAGGCGCCGGACCGAAGAUGAUAUAAAGCUGGCUAACAGUGUGGAGGUGAGUUCUCUCCGUGAUCCCCAGGAGGAUGCUGAAAGGGUGAAGGACCCAGAGUGGCUUAUAGUGGUUGGGGUGUGUACCCACCUUGGUUGCAUACCUCUUCCAAAUGCAGGGGAUUUUGGUGGCUGGUUCUGUCCGUGCCAUGGCUCGCACUAUGACAUCUCCGGCCGGAUUCGCAAGGGUCCUGCACCGUACAACCUAGAGGUACCCACAUACAGCUUCCUGGAGGAUAACAAGCUUCUCAUUGGUUGAUUGUG
rnacentral:misc_RNA from 1 species